rnacentral:lncRNA from 1 species
AGAGAUUUCUUCUUUCUUUUUAUCCGCCUUGCACAUUAGUUAUGCACCUCUUGCAUAUUUCAUUUGACUUGCUCUGGCUAAUUUUAUUUUCUUGUCUCCAGUGUAUUUUAAGGUUCUUGAGGACAGAGAUCAAGCCCUGCUUGUCUUGCUAUCCAUAGGACCAAGUGAAUGUUUUGUUCAAAAGUGAUGCUCAAACUACCUGAGAUGGAAAAAAACAAGUAUGUACAGAUACACAUUACCAGCUCGAUUUUACUCACGAAGAAAAUAUUAUGUCUCUAUUCAGCAAAUACUACAGAAUACUGAAGUAACAAAAAGAAUCAAGACAAGUACCUAAACUUUG